rnacentral:rRNA from 1 species
CAUCCCGCUGACCGCCUUAGAGAUAAGGCUUUCCCUUCGGGGACAGCGGUGACAGGUGGUGCAUGGUUGUCGUCAGCUCGUGUCGUGAGAUGUUGGGUUAAGUCCCGCAACGAGCGCAACCCUUGAUCUUAGUUGCCAGCAUUCAGUUGGGCACUCUAAGGUGACUGCCGGUGACAAACCGGAGGAAGGUGGGGAUGACGUCAAAUCAUCAUGCCCCUUAUGACCUGGGCUACACACGUGCUACAAUGGACGGUACAAAGGGCAGCCAACCCGCGAGGGGGAGCCAAUCCCAGAAAACCGUUCUCAGUUCGGAUUGCAGGCUGCAACUCGCCUGCAUGAAGCCGGAAUCGCUAGUAAUCGUGGAUCAGCAUGCCACGGUGAAUACGUUCCCGGGCCUUGUACACACCGCCCGUCACACCACGAGAGUGGUAACACUGGAAGUCGGUGAGGUAAC